rnacentral:rRNA from 1 species
UUUCGCAAUGCCCGAAAGGGUGACGAAGCGACGCCGCGUGUGGGAAGAAGGCCUUCGGGUUGUAAACCACUGUCGGGAGUUAGGAAAUGCAGGUGCGUUGAUAGCGCACUUGCUUGACUAAGGCUCCAGAGGAAGCCACGGCUAACUCUGUGCCAGCAGCCGCGGUAAUACAGAGGCGGCAAGCGUUGUUCGGAAUUAUUGGGCGUAAAGAGCACGUAGGCGGCCUUGCAAGUCAGUUGUGAAAGCCUUCCGCUUAACGGAAGAACGGCAUCUGAUACUACAGGGCUUGAGUACGGGAGGGGAGAGUGGAACUUCUGGUGGAGCGGUGAAAUGCGUAGAUAUCAGAAGGAACGCCGGCGGCGAAAGCGACUCUCUGGUCCGAAACUGACGCUGAGUGUGCGAAAGCUAGGGGAGCAAACGGGAUUAGAUACCCCGGUAGUCCUAGCCGUAAACGAUGGGCACUAAGUAGAGGGGUUUU